GGUCCAUUCUAGAUAUACAGGAGUAUCUGAAGCUAGCCUUACUUGUGCACUUGCACAUCGCUGACAUGCUCUCAGAAUUCACUGUGCGUAUGAAAGUUGGAAGCAUUUUUUCUCCGUGGACAUGGUUAAGCAUUUCUUCCGGAGUCAUGCGUGUCUGUUGUCUGGCGUUUUAUGGAAGAUGAAAGACCGGUUCAUUAUAACAAUUCUAUGAAGAAUCAAUUUUCCAAAACCUGAUUCGACUAGACACGGGCAGGCUUCAAAUCGCGGAGAGCAUCCGUUAGCCUUCAGCUCGCCAAAUCCAAAACCAUGGCUAUCGGUAAUCUAGAGAUAUUGUACUGCAAGAAGCGGG
rnacentral:sRNA from 2 species